UACGUAGGGUGCAAGCGUUGCCCGGAUUUAUUGGGCGUAAAGAGCUCGUAGGCGGUUUGGCAAGUCGGGUGUGAAAACUCCGGGCUCAACUCGGAGACGCCACUCGAUACUGCUAUGACUCGAGUCCGGUAGGGGAGUGCGGAAUUCCUGGUGUAGCGGUGAAAUGCGCAGAUAUCAGGAGGAACACCGGUGGCGAAGGCGGCACUCUGGGCCGGUACUGACGCUGAGGAGCGAAAGCCAGGGGAGCAAACGGG
rnacentral:rRNA from 1 species